CAAUAUCUCAGGGAGAAAUGGUCGGUUUACUAAUCGCGGAUGUGGGGAUAUUUGGUAUGCACGCGAUAUCUUGCAUUCUUAUCAUUCCAGCACUAGCACUUAGUGUCUGGAGGGAGGACCAGGCGGACAGGACAGCACCAUCGCAGUCUUGUUGAGGCAUAUACAUAUAUCUCUUCCCCUUUGCUUUGAAAUAUGCACAUCAAUUGAAAAGAUCAUAUGACUCACAGAUACAUGGAAUCAUUUAUCUUAGUUUACUGCCUACUGGUGUUGAUAUUUGAUUAGAUGGAGUAUUAUUGUAUAUUAAACCAACAAGGAUUUUGCUAUUUCCUCUAGUCAUUGUAUUAGCAAUUUAGUAUUUAUGAUAAAAUUGGGACCAUCAUGGAACUUAAAUUUGUGAGUAGACAACUGAUGCAGCUCCUACCAUAUGCUUUUGUUACGAAGUAAUGAUAAUAAAAUGAUCAGUUCUACGUAUUAGAAAAGAGCAAUAGUAAUUGCUUACAGAUUGCUCUGCCUUGCUCUGUCCACUGGUCAUCAUAGUGUAAUUCAUGAGAAUAUGUGGGGCUUGUGAGCUCAAGAUGGUUUCCAUAUGUGAAGUACCUACUGAUUAGGCAAUCUUUUACCAUCAGGUGUUCUGCAAUUCAGUGGCUAGUUUUGAGCUAGCCACCAUGUACGUUGAAUUUGCACCUUUGAGGCACUCAGCCAUCCAAAUUAGGCUGUCAUGCGGGCCAAGAAGAAUUAUGCCUCAUAUGCUGAGUUGCAAUUGUUGUCCGUUCCCACUCUUGAUCUAAAUAAUACCUCUCCCUGGUCUAGUUGCAGCGGCAGAGCCUUGCCAUGUUGGUAUAUAUACUGUCACUACUGUACAUAGAUCAGUACAUACAAAUUUAUAAUUUAGUGUGCUUAAUAUUGAUAGACAUCUACACAACCGCAUUAAAGUUCUAGUUUUCUGCAGCUUAUCUAAUGGAACACUGGUUUUCUUUAUUAUCAGAGAUAACCCUGAAUGGAAGGUGUGAAGAUGGGCAAGGACAAGAGCUGACUCUUUGCUGAAGUUUAUGGCUGCUGAUAAGUUCUAGGUUAUAGUUUCCUAGUCAUGACUGUAGAUUGGUCCACUGGCCACUGCUAGUAUCGCGCACUCCAUGUGUUAGGAGCUCUGGUAAUUCGACAUCGUAGUGUUCUAGUGUUUACUUGCUGCUGGGAAGUCUGGAGUGCUUGACCAUAUAAUGAGUUGUAUAUCACCCUGCGGAGGACAAUAAUGCUUUUCUAGGCAUGUAGAGUUUGCCAUGUUUGCACUUAUGUUGGAUGACUACCACUCUAUUCUUGUGCAAGUCAUUAGCCCUUGUGGCAGUCAUCAUAGAAUGUUCCGUUUGCAGCGAUCUCGGAUGUUAGGGCUUUACAGUUUUGUGGGAGUACCUUGUUUGUGUCUUGAGGGUGCGGCAUGGCAUGGGUCGAGCUCAAAUGUUAGGUAGCUUAAACUUAAAAAGGUAGGCGAUGGUGGUAUUAAAUAUAUCACUACAAAUGUUUAAAUCGAUGGGUUAUCUGUGAGAAAUGUUUUGAUCUUGCCUGUGAUUCAUGUGGAGUAAAAUUUCCACAUAUUGUUCUUCAGAUUGUUGAAAGAGAAAAAAAAUUGGAGGAACUAUGCAUAAAGAAAGACACUCAAAUCUGAUCUAUUAACUUGUUCGACGUUUCUGGUGUGUUUUUUCUGGAAAUUC
rnacentral:lncRNA from 1 species